CUACCUAGUAGUAUGGGAUAGCCACUAGAAAUGGUGGGUAAUACUGUAUAAUCCCCGCGGGGGAAAGAUUUAUCGCUAUUAGAUGAGCCUAUGUUAGAUUAGCUAGUUGGUGGGGUAAAGGCCUACCAAGGCGAUGAUCUAUAGCUGGUCUGAGAGGAUGAUCAGCCACACUGGAACUGAGAUACGGUCCAGACUCCUACGGGAGGCAGCAGUGGGGAAUAUUGGACAAUGGGCGCAAGCCUGAUCCAGCUAUGCCGCGUGAGUGAGGAAGGCCCUAGGGUUGUAAAACUCUUUCAGUAGGGAAGAUAAUGACGGUACCUACAGAAGAAGUCCCGGCAAACUCCGUGCCAGCAGCCGCGGUAAUACGGAGGGGGCGAGCAUUGUUCGGAAUUAUUGGGCGUAAAGGGCAUGUAGGCGGUUCGGUAAGUUAAAGGUGAAAUGCCAGGGCUUAACCCUGGAGCGGCUUUUAA
rnacentral:rRNA from 1 species